AAAUCACUCAUAUUGAAUAACUGCUGGGGGAAACCAAAGCUUAUGCAUACAUGAAAUGAUUAAUCGUGAGAUCGUGAAAAGCAUGUAGAAUCUGGUGUCAUCCCUACACGGGGUUGGAGAGGAUAAUACACCCCCCUGACGUGCCCCGUUACCGGCAUGAAGAGAAAUGACACUUCUGCAAUCUGCCGGCUCCGACAGGUUCGACUCACAGCGUCGUUCAGGUGUACAAAGGACCGACGGAAGGAAGAAACACUUGAGCGGGAUGAAAGAAACAGAGGAAAACGGGGCCAUUUGGGAUGAAAAAAGUCACGGUCCGGUGAUGUCACCCGCAAUAAAACCGCUGUGCAACCUCGAGGAGUCGUGACCUUCUGCCGCCGACGCUUGGAGGUCACACGACUUCAACACCAUCGCGUGUACAAAAGAUAAGACACAAAGAGGAGCGGCUACAGUGUAUAAUGUGUUUGGCGCCUUUAUGAUGCUUUUUUACCAUUUCAAAAGAGACGUCUUCGUCUUCGUGAGCGGGAGGCGUGACCUGCAGUAAGAUCCACCACACCACCGUUCCUUUCACCCGAUGUGUUUCCACAGACUCAUGGAGAAAUGUUGGACUUUGCAAGUGUGGUGUUUUAAACUGAUGUUCCAAAGUCAUUUCAAUGUACGUGAAUGACAAUGACCAAU
ensembl:lncRNA